AACGAACGCUGGCGGCAUGCCUAACACAUGCAAGUCGAACGAGAUCUUCGGGUCUAGUGGCGCACGGGUGCGUAACGCGUGGGAAUCUGCCCUUUGGUUCGGAAUAACAGUUGGAAACGACUGCUAAUACCGGAUGAUGACGAAAGUCCAAGGAUUUAUCGCCAGAGGAUGAGCCCGCGUAGGAUUAGCUAGCUGGUGUGGUAAAGGCGCACCAAGGCGACGAUCCUUAGCUGGUCUGAGAGGAUGAUCAGCCACACUGGGACUGAGACACGGCCCAGACGCCUACGGGAGGCAGCAGUGGGGAAUAUUGGACAAUGGGCGAAAGCCUGAUCCAGCAAUGCCGCGUGAGUGAUGAAGGCCUUAGGGUUGUAAAGCUCUUUUACCCGGGAUGAUAAUGACAGUACCGGGAGAAUAAGCUCCGGCUAACUCCGUGCCAGCCGCCGCGGUAA
rnacentral:rRNA from 1 species